rnacentral:rRNA from 1 species
GGCGUGCGAUACAGGGUGACAGCCCCGUACACAAAAAUGCACAUACUGUGAGCUCGAUGAGUAGGGCGGGACACGUGGUAUCCUGUCUGAAUAUGGGGGGACCAUCCUCCAAGGCUAAAUACUCCUGACUGACCGAUAGUGAACCAGUACCGUGAGGGAAAGGCGAAAAGAACCCCGGCGAGGGGAGUGAAAAAGAACCUGAAACCGUGUACGUACAAGCAGUGGGAGCACGCUUAGGCGUGUGACUGCGUACCUUUUGUAUAAUGGGUCAGCGACUUAUAUUCUGUAGCAAGGUUAACCGAAUAGGGGAGCCGAAGGGAAACCGAGUCUUAACUGGGCGUUAAGUUGCAGGGUAUAGACCCGAAACCCGGUGAUCUAGCCAUGGGCAGGUUGAAGGUUGGGUAACACUAACUGGAGGACCGAACCGACUAAUGUUGAAAAAUUAGCGGAUGACUUGUGGCUGGGGGUGAAAGGCCAAUCAAACCGGGAGAUAGCUGGUUCUCCCCGAAAGCUAUUUAGGUAGCGCCUCGUGAAUUCAUCUCCGGGGGUAGAGCACUGUUUCGGCAAGGGGGUCAUCCCGACUUACCAACCCGAUGCAAACUGCGAAUACCGGAGAAUGUUAUCACGGGAGACACACGGCGGGUGCUAACGUCCGUCGUGAAGAGGGAAACAACCCAGACCGCCAGCUAAGGUCCCAAAGUCAUGGUUAAGUGGGAAACGAUGUGGGAAGGCCCAGACAGCCAGGAUGUUGGCUUAGAAGCAGCCAUCAUUUAAAGAAAGCGUAAUAGCUCACUGGUCGAGUCGGCCUGCGCGGAAGAUGUAACGGGGCUAAACCAUGCACCGAAGCUGCGGCAGCGACGCUUAUGCGUUGUUGGGUAGGGGAGCGUUCUGUAAGCCUGUGAAGGUGUACUGUGAGGUAUGCUGGAGGUAUCAGAAGUGCGAAUGCUGACAUAAGUAACGAUAAAGCGGGUGAAAAGCCCGCUCGCCGGAAGACCAAGGGUUCCUGUCCAACGUUAAUCGGGGCAGGGUGAGUCGACCCCUAAGGCGAGGCCGAAAGGCGUAGUCGAUGGGAAACAGGUUAAUAUUCCUGUACUUGGUGUUACUGCGAAGGGGGGACGGAGAAGGCUAUGUUGGCCGGGCGACGGUUGUCCCGGUUUAAGCGUGUAGGCUGGUUUUCCAGGCAAAUCCGGAAAAUCAAGGCCGAGGCGUGAUGACGAGGCACUACGGUGCUGAAGCAACAAAUGCCCUGCUUCCAGGAAAAGCCUCUAAGCAUCAGGUAACAUCAAAUCGUACCCCAAACCGACACAGGUGGUCAGGUAGAGAAUACCAAGGCGCUUGAGAGAACUCGGGUGAAGGAACUAGGCAAAAUGGUGCCGUAACUUCGGGAGAAGGCACGCUGAUACGUAGGUGAAGCGACUUGCUCGUGGAGCUGAAAUCAGUCGAAGAUACCAGCUGGCUGCAACUGUUUAUUAAAAACACAGCACUGUGCAAACACGAAAGUGGACGUAUACGGUGUGACGCCUGCCCGGUGCCGGAAGGUUAAUUGAUGGGGUUAGCGCAAGCGAAGCUCUUGAUCGAAGCCCCGGUAAACGGCGGCCGUAACUAUAACGGUCCUAAGGUAGCGAAAUUCCUUGUCGGGUAAGUUCCGACCUGCACGAAUGGCGUAAUGAUGGCCAGGCUGUCUCCACCCGAGACUCAGUGAAAUUGAACUCGCUGUGAAGAUGCAGUGUACCCGCGGCAAGACGGAAAGACCCCGUGAACCUUUACUAUAGCUUGACACUGAACAUUGAGCCUUGAUGUGUAGGAUAGGUGGGAGGCUUUGAAGUGUGGACGCCAGUCUGCAUGGAGCCGACCUUGAAAUACCACCCUUUAAUGUUU